rnacentral:misc_RNA from 1 species
AACAAAUCUCAACUAUAAAAAGUUGGUUUAUGGGUCUGUUAUAAACAGGUCUUAAAGUUGUACGCUUGUAGGUUGCUUUGUUAAACCAAAACAUAGUAAAAUUCUUUGUUUUAUAAAACUUAGCUUUCUACCUAAAAAUUCUAAG